rnacentral:rRNA from 1 species
AUUGAACGCUGGCGGCAUGCCUUACACAUGCAAGUCGAACGGCAGCACGGGUGCUUGCACCUGGUGGCGAGUGGCGAACGGGUGAGUAAUAUAUCGGAACGUACCUUAAUGUGGGGGAUAACGCAGCGAAAGCUGUGCUAAUACCGCAUAAUCCCUAAGGGGGAAAGCGGGGGACCGUAAGGCCUCGCGCAAUUAGAGCGGCCGAUACCUGAUUAGCUAGUUGGUGAGGUAAAGGCUCACCAAGGCAACGAUCAGUAGCUGGUCUGAGAGGACGAUCAGCCAAACUGGGACUGAGACACGGCCCAGACUCCUACGGGAGGCAGCAGUGGGGAAUUUUGGACAAUGGGGGCAACCCUGAUCCAGCAAUGCCGCGUGAGUGAAGAAGGCCUUCGGGUUGUAAAGCUCUUUUGUCAGGGAAGAAACAGCAGCUCUAACACAGUAUGCGAAUGACGGUACCUGAAGAAUAAGCACCGGCUAACUACGUGCCAGCCGCCGCGGUAA